rnacentral:lncRNA from 1 species
AAGGGUUACUUUCCGUUAUUAGAGAAGUUGAAUUCCAGAGAAAAAAUACGAGAAGAGCACCUGAAGAGUUCGAAUUGAUUUCCACGUAAAGUUUCUAGCUAAACGUUUGUUAGAAACAUCAUCGAACAUUAAUCGAGUUCUGAUAAAGAAAGAAAACUUUAUCACAACCAGUGAAUCCAUGAUCAAGGUUGAUUGAUCUCAUUUCAUCCCUAGUUAAACAAGCUUGAUUUUCCACAUGAGCCCACCUCAUUUAUUAAGCAAAUACCAAGCUAAAUUUUUAUCUCGACAUGUUGAGUGGACUGGGCCGAGGUGAGUUUAAAGAAGUGAGAAGACUGUUGACAAAAGUAUAUCACUUUGAUGUCCAACUGUUGAUGCUUAUCUGUUCUUAACGAGUUGGAGGAAUUGGUGAGUCAAUCUCACGUCUCCAAUUAGAAAUUGUUAAGAUGAAGGAAGAGUAGCUGGUAACUGGUAAGUACCAAGAAAGCACAUUUCAUGUUCUCCAGCGACAUUUGGUUAGGUAUACCAACAACGAACUUAAAGACAUUUGAACCCACAUCCCUGAAAGCAAAGAUGAACAAGUACCAGAGUAAAUCUUAUAAAUAGAACAAGACUAGUGAGUUUGAUCAUAAGUUCAUAACCCUAUACGUGUGACUCAUCAUAGCUUCAAAAAAAUAAAAAUAGUCUCUUUUGUUGUCCAUUGGCUGUUGAAGUCUCUUGGAGUAGGGCGAGGUACGUUUAAAGAGUAAAGAGUAGGUUUGGCAGAGAACCAGAGACAGGACACAUCACAUCAAACAACUCACAAACCAACAAAAGAAGAGACCCCAAUGCUUGUGGGUUGUGUCUUUCUCUGUGUUGAUGAGUGUUGACUACAGCACUCACCACAAAAAUUGUUAUUAAAUGAGAUAUUUAUAGAUAUCGCAUCUUCGGAUUAGACCCAAUAUCACAUCUCGAAAAAAUUAGAAACCAAUAGCUUACCUGAAGGUAGUGCUAAAUAUAUAUUAAUGGUGGAGGUAAAGAAAGGGCAGUCCCCCUCUCCCCCAACUGGCCAUCUGUCUGUGAAACGGUGAAGGUGACAGACAGUCAGAUAGAGAGAGACCCUUCCUCCUAUUCUCAUCCAUCCAAUAUCCAAUGCCCCCCCACCAAGCAAUAACUGUUAGAGAAAAGGGAGAAGAAUACCUUUUCAUGGAGGACUUCCGGCAGCAGCAACAAAGAUUCCACAACCAACAACUCUUCUCGUACUCAGACCACCAUCAUCAUGACAACCCAC